rnacentral:rRNA from 1 species
UACGUAGGGUGCGAGCGUUGUCCGGAAUUAUUGGGCGUAAAGAGCUCGUAGGCGGUGUGUCACGUCGGCCGUGGAAACCUGGGGCUUAACUCUGGGCGUGCGGUCGAUACGGGCAUCACUAGAGUUCGGCAGGGGAGACUGGAAUUCCUGGUGUAGCGGUGAAAUGCGCAGAUAUCAGGAGGAACACCGGUGGCGAAGGCGGGUCUCUGGGCCGAUACUGACGCUGAGGAGCGAAAGCAUGGGUAGCGAACAGG